AUGAUUCCUUUAAAAAUCACUGGUAUCCUAGAUUUGAUGAGACUCGUACUUUGCAUCAACCUGGGAGGCAAGGCCAACCUCUCCACCCAGGGAGGUGAGGGCGGGGAGGGGACCAGAGGCUGGGCUGCACUCAGCACCCAGGGAGGGGAGGGAGGGGAGGGGAGGGGAGAGGACCGGAGGCUGGGCUGCUCUCAGCACCCAGGGAGGGGAGGGAGGGGAGGGGAGGGGAGAGGACCGGAGGCUGGGCUGCUCUCAGCACCCAGGGAGGUGAUGCUGACGCAGCUGGGCCACAGGGCAAGGGGCUGGUCUGGCCAGACCUGCUGCUGCCCAGGGGACACACCAGGGGACCACAACACACACAGCUUGGCUAGAGGGACCACCGUCCAGCCCCUCAUCUCACAGAGCAGACGGACAGCAGCUGUGGCACGCCAAGCCCCUACAAUGCCACCGGCACCAGCUGGUCUCUGGAGCUAGAACGCCCAGGUAGAUGGGCUCUGUGGCCUUGGGGGCUUCCUGGGACCAGAGUUGACCUUGGGCUUGCGGAAUGACAGUUUCAGGCCCUCCUUGAAGAAGAGCGAAAUGGAUAUCCAUGCCUUCCUGUAGUCUACCCCCCCAAUGAAAACAUUCUCUCUUGAUUUUUGUCUGAAACAGUUCUUUGUUGUCUAAGACUAGGAGGGGACAGAGGUGAGAGGGCGGUGGCAGUGGGAGGGGCCAGGGCCCUUGCAGGGAACAGAGGAAUGAAACAUGCUGCCAAGGGUAGAGACUGUCAUCACCGGCCUUUACAAGGCGCACGGAAGUGCGGUGCAGGGUUACACAGGGUGCUGUUCAUAAGGGCCCAACCCCGGCAGUGCCUCCUGAACUCAGCCCAGGGGCUGGGGUCGCCCAUGCCCUCCUCCAAGGGGGAGCAGCUGCUGCCACCCUUGGCGCACGUUGUCCCAUGACCUGGAGUGGCCUCCCAUCCCGUGCAGUGGUGACCACUCGUCCCUCAAGGCCCAGCCCAGAUGCCACCUCCUCUCGGAAGCCUGCUCUGAGCCUUCCAGCCCAGGUCUCCUGCCUUUCCUGCACCGCCCAAAGCCUGCUCGGAAACGACCUCCUGUGGUGGAAGAAACCCUCCACGCCUUCUGACUCUGGCUUCCUUCUCCAAA
rnacentral:lncRNA from 1 species